UACGUAGGGGGCGAGCGUUGUCCGGAUUUAUUGGGCGUAAAGAGCGUGUAGGCGGCCAGGUAGGUCUGCUGUGAAAACUCGAGGCUCAACCUCGAGAUGUCGGCGGAAACCAUCUGGCUAGAGUCCGGAAGAGGAGAAUGGAAUUCCCGGUGUAGCGGUGAAAUGCGCAGAUAUCGGGAAGAACACCCGUGGCGAAGGCGGUUCUCUGGGACGGUACUGACGCUGAGACGCGAAAGCGUGGGGAGCGAACAGG
rnacentral:rRNA from 1 species